UCGAAUAAAGAUCAAAACAGGUAAAAGUUGGAACAAUAAGAUUAACAUGGCCACUGUGGAAGGAUGACAUACACAAAUUGAGAAAUGGUCGACAAUUUU